rnacentral:rRNA from 1 species
ACCCGCCACGCCGACUGGAAGACUGGGGGACCGUGAAGCCGGUGGGCUAACUCGCAAGAGAGGCAGCCGUCAAAGGUCAAUUCAGUGACUGGGGCG